AGCAUUUGAUGGGGCGAUAGCCCGCGGG
rnacentral:sRNA from 1 species